rnacentral:lncRNA from 10 species
UGCGUAUAUCUGUGCACACACACCCACAUACACGCACACAUGUACCUGCGUAUAUCUGUGCACACACACCCACAUACACGCACACAUGUACCUGCGUAUAUCUGUGCACACACACCCACAUACACGCACACAUGUACCUGCGUAUAUCUGUGCACACACACCCACAUACACGCACACAUGUACCUGCGUAUAUCUGUGCACACACACCCACAUACACGCACACAUGUACCGGCGUAUAUCUGUGCACACACACCCACAUACACGCACACAUGCACCUGCGUAUAUCUGUGCACACACACACACACACAUGUACGUGCGUAUAUCUGUGCACACACACCCACAUACAUGCACACAUGUACCUGCGUAUAUCUGUGCACACACACCCACAUACAUGCACACAUGCACCUGCGUAUAUCUGUGCACACACACCCACAUACACGCACACAUGUACUUGCGUAUAUCUGUGCACACACACCCACAUACACGCACACAUGUACCUGCGUAUAUCUGUGCACACACACCCACACGCACACAUGUACCUGCGUAUAUCUGUGCACACACCCACAUACACGCACACAUGUACCUGCGUAUAUCUGUGCACACACACCCACAUACACGCACACAUGUACCUGCAUAUAUCUGUGCACACACACACGCACACAUGUACCUGCGUAUAUCUGUGCACACACACCCACAUACAUGCACACAUGUACCUGCGUAUAUCUGUGCACACACACCCACAUACACGCACACAUGUACCUGUGUAUAUCUGUGCACACACACCCACAUACAUGCACACAUGCACCUGCGUAUAUCUGUGCACACACACACACACGCACACAUGUACCUGCGUAUAUCUGUGCACACACACCCACAUACACGCACACAUGUACCUGCGUAUAUCUGUGCACACACACCCACAUACACGCACACAUGUACCUGCGUAUAUCUGUGCACACACACCCACAUACACGCACACAUGUACCUGCGUAUAUCUGUGCACACACACCCACAUACACGCACACAUGUACCUGCGUAUAUCUGUGCACACACACCCACAUACACGCACACAUGUACCGGUGUAUAUCUGUGCACACACACCCACAUACACGCACACAUGCACCUGCGUAUAUCUGUGCACACACACACACACACAUGUACGUGCGUAUAUCUGUGCACACACACCCACAUACAUGCACACAUGUACCUGCGUAUAUCUGUGCACACACACCCACAUACAUGCACACAUGCACCUGCGUAUAUCUGUGCACACACACCCACAUACACGCACACAUGUACUUGCGUAUAUCUGUGCACACACACCCACAUACACGCACACAUGUACCUGCGUAUAUCUGUGCACACACACCCACACGCACACAUGUACCUGCGUAUAUCUGUGCACACACCCACAUACACGCACACAUGUACCUGCGUAUAUCUGUGCACACACACCCACAUACACGCACACAUGUACCUGCGUAUAUCUGUGCACACACACACGCACACAUGUACCUGCGUAUAUCUGUGCACACACACCCACAUACAUGCACACAUGCACCUGCGUAUAUCUGUGCACACACACACACACGCACACAUGUACCUGCAUAUAUCUGUGCACACACACACACACAUGCACAGGUUGUAUGACCCUCUGAUUUGCGUGUGAGUCAGCAUCCCAGGAAACAUCCAGCCCCGGGAAACCUAUUUUACAGAACAUUCCAGAAGGAGCAAGCAGCAGGUACAGAGAGGCAAGAGGCAGGGGACAUUGUGGCCGAAGCAGCAGGAUCCCUGGGUGGCUGGAGCAGAGGUAUGGAGAGGAAGUGUGGCCUUUGUAGAAUGUUCAGAACAUUCUUCCAGGAAGGCGGCUGAGCCUGGGCACAGGUCUCUGAAUUUCUUUGACCACAGCAUUGCUUCGUCCCCUCUUCCACAACUCUGGGACAUGGAAACUCUCCUUGGGAAGCUCAGCUUGGAGUCUCAUUACUUGCCAGCCACUUCCCUGAGUGUGAGCUCCUGCCCUAGGAUGUGGAUGGUGCUGAAAUAAAUACACGUGUCCUCAGAUCUCUCUGAGCACAUCUCAAGGAUCUACCGCCAGCAUCUGCAUUCAAAUAGCGACGUUUACAGAGGGUGAACGGGCCUCUGUGUGCCUUGCAGAGAGCUGGACAGUUCACCCCCCACGCCCUGCCAGCCUCAUCCCUAGGACACAUCCCGGGUGAUGCCGUUCCUACUGCCCUCUGCUCCUGGCAGUGGAGAGUUAGAAAGUUUCCUUGCACACAGCACAGGGGACCCGCCCCAAGGACAAAGGGAAGCCCUGUGUGUUUCUCUUCUGCAAAGCCCAGCACGUCUAAUACAAGUUAAGUGUGGAGUUCAGAGGGAGCAGCUUUCUGAAGCUCUUUGAACAGUCUCAGGCAAAUAUCUCUGUGUGCCCUGGAUGCUAUCUGGAGAACAGGAGCUCUAAUAAAAAGCAAAUUGUGGCUUGAAUGACACAAAAGGGAUUUGCUAUUUCAAAUUCACAAUGUCUGCCUUGUCUUAGAAAUCAGAAUUCUCAGAGUCACCCCAGAUAUUUGGUCAAAUGGGGGCAGAACCAGAAUUCGUAAAUGCAGCAAAGGCUCUGAGGAAUAAAUUC